GUGAGGAAGGGGGUGACUAGUGACAGAGUGAGAAAGGGGGUGACUAGUGACAGAGGGAGGGGUGACUAGGGACAGAGUGAGGGAGGUGGUGACUAGUGACAGUCACCACCUCCCUCACUCUGUCACUGUGUCACCCCCUCCAUCUGUCACUGGUCAUCCCCUCCCUCCCUCCCUCCCUCCGUCACUGGUCACCCACUCCCUCCCUCACUUUGUCACCAGUCAUCCCCUCACUCUGUCACUAGUAACCCCUUCCUUCCCUCAC
rnacentral:sRNA from 1 species